UCUUGCGAAUGAGUGAAGCUGCCAGCAUGAUCUAGCUCUGAUUUGGUUGGCACCAUAUUAGCAGGCGUCCACGCACAGCUAGACUAGAGUGGCCUCGCGCGCUCUCGUCUGGUCUGUGUCUCGCUUUGUGCCUGCAAAUCGUUGUUAGAUCAUGCAUGACAGCCUCAUUCCUUCACAAU
rnacentral:pre_miRNA from 7 species